UAGAUUACUACUGCUAAACAUAGAAGCCCCAUGAUUCUUUUGCUUCAUCAGAAGGUGACAUCUGUCACUUACUUGGUGUACUUGCAGGGGUUGCAGGUGCAGCUAUCCCCGCACUUGCAUCCAUUCUCAGCUGCAACUCCCAUCUCAGAUGCCUCAAAGUGCGACUUCUGGGGAGCAACUCCUAUGACAAGGGUCUUAGUGGUGGACCCCUCCAUAUAGUUCAGAUCAGGAGCUAUCCCGCACCCGUUGCAGCCACUGCCGUAGCUGCAGCCGGACUAACAACCACAUUUACCACCGCAGCACGACGAUAUUUUUGGAAUUGGAGAUAAACAAAUUUAGAAGGGAAUGUUUGAUUAAAUUGAUGACAAUAAAGCAAAUGACCACAACUCUGUUUUUGAAUCGAAGAACUGUGGUUUUUCGUCACCCUUGCUCUUCAAGGAACUCAUCACACCUGCGAACCAAUCGCCAUUUUUUGGUUUUCUCAAAUAGGUCAUAAGCUCGAGUCUCCCAUUCGUAAGCUCGGGCCGCCUCAAUCAAAUUGGAAGCAGUAGCAAUUGGGUUAUGAGCUCCAAACUCUGACGUAUCCAUUGGUUGAGGCAAAUCUGAGACGGGAUCUUCGACUCUGUAAAUGAAGCGGCGCUGGUUUUAUUUCCCACUCGAAAGCGCCUUUAGUCUACCUUGAUGAGGAUGGUGUCGCCAUAGAUAAGCUGUAGCUUUUCCAUGGUUUCGGGAUUCAUUGCAACGACGGAGUUAUCGUCGUUUACAGCCUCAUCAACGACGAGACAGUUCGUCGACUUCUUCUGCCCCAGAAUUACCGUCCACAAGUCUUCAUUCUUCUAGUCAAACGAUUUGGCUUGGUGAGCCAUGGCAGUGGAUCAUUUCAGAGAUUAGGAACUGUGGUAAACGAAGAACAGAAAGAGGAGAGAGAGAAUAAGUGUUUGGAAUGUGUUAGCAGGUCUGGGUCCUUAUCUCCCCUAAAUAUCCGGGUCCUCCUCUGCCAUUCUGUAGGUGUUUGGUUUCUUGGAUUUUGCAGAUUCUUCGGUGGACAGUGGUGAAAUUUGAUGAAAAAAAUGAAAGAGAACCGACAUAGUUUUUUGUGUUGAUUCCCACAGACGGCGCCAAAUGUUGAUGCACAAAACCGAAGGUCUUAGAACAACGUAAAUCCGACCAUGAAUCUGCAAGAAAUGUAAAUAACACAAGAUGUAUCGUGGUUCACCCAAGGUUUGGGCUACGUCUGCAGUGAAUUGUAUUUCUCUGAGAGUAUUGUGAAGGAUAGGGAGCUCUGAAUGAGAGUCAGAGUUUUGAGAGGAUGAAGGGUUAGGCCUAAGAAUUGGCCUAUCUAAUUGUGAGGGUGAGGGGUCCUUUUAUAGAAUAAGGGAUCUUCACUUAUUACAUAUUUGGCCCUUCCUUUAUUACAUAAUUACAUUUAAGUCCCCCGAGUAUUUAUACGAGGUCUAAAUACGGAGGCCCUAAGUAUGGUACAAACAUAGAUGUCCCUAGCUUCAUUUUGGUAUAAAUUACACGAAAAAUAGUGAAGAAAUGAGCGAGAUUAAGGAGUUUCAAAAAUUGCCCAGUUUCCGACGUUAGCGACAGUUGUCGGAGCUGGAGAUAGGAGAUGGAAGAAUAUUCCAUCAAAUCUGACGGAAUAUUCUCACGGCAUUAGUUAGUUUGGACAGUUUCCGUUGUGUUUUAACAAAAUAUUCCGAGGAAUAUUCCUAACUGUUUGGGAAUCCAUCAGGAUUCCCUGCGCAUGGUGGCGCGUAUUACCGUGCCUUGGCCGACGCGUGCGGGGUCAGAAAAUUAUUUUGAAAAUGGGGAUGAUCCUAAGGUUGUGUAGGUCACUGUGGUAUAUUCAUAUACCCAAUUUGAGUAACGUAUGAGAAGUUAUUAGCUAGUUUUGUCUAUGUGCUUUAAAAUAACGUUUUUAUAGUUAAUUCGCAUAUAGGUGAGACCUAUCCCGAGGGCGAGCGUAUCCACGGACGACUCGGGGGCUACGACCCUUCGACAUACCAGUGAGUGGGCUUUUGUUUUUAGUAUAUAUUUAUAUACUUGAUAUAUUUCCCAAAAAUGCAUUUUAAGGAAAGUAUGUUUUGAAAUAAUAUGUCAUAUGCGUUUAUAUUCUGAAUAUGCAUUUCAUGGUUGCAUAUAUAUAUAUAUAUAUAUAUAUAUAUAUAUAUAAAUGUGGUGCUGUGGAGGCACAUGUAAGUUCAGGUAAAUUAUGUUUGGCUAUGUGAAUCAUCGAUGAUGUGAUAUGUGAAAUGAUGUUGAGCUCAUAAAACUGCACCUAGGGUGAUUGAGAUUUAGCCAGAGAUAUAAAGUACAGGCCUGUUUAUGUACGUCACCUCCCGCACUAUAUGCUCAUAUUGGAUCCAAUUUAAGUGCACAGUCUUGUCGUACAGACCUUAUUCAUGGUUCCAACUCGUAGGUGACUAGCGAUUAUCGCCCGGCUAUUAUGAGAGAAUAGAGUUGAGCAUAAUUAUAUUUCACCCAAUCUUGUCGUACACAUAGAUUACUACUGCUAAACAUAAAAGCCCCAUGAUUCUCUUGCUUCGUCAGAAGGUGACAUCUGUCACUCACUUGGUGCACUUGCAGGGGUUGCAGGUGCAGCUAU
rnacentral:lncRNA from 1 species